AGUAUGAUCGCCACACUGGGACUGGAACACGGCCCAGACUCUACGGGAGGCAGCAGUGGGGAAUAUUGCGCAAUGGCGAAAGCCUGACGCAGCGACGCCGCGUGAGGGAUGAAGGUUCUCGGAUCGUAAACCUCUGUCAGAAGGGAAGAAAAACCAGAGGAGUAACUGCCUUUGGCCUGACGGUACCUUCAAAGGAAGCACCGGCUAACUCCGUGCCAGCAGCCGCGGUAAUACGGAGGGUGCAAGCGUUAAUCGGAAUCACUGGGCGUAAAGCGCACGUAGGCGGCUUUGUAAAGUCAGCGGUGCAAGCCCUUCGCUCAACGAAGGAAUUGCCGUUGAUACUGCUUAGCUUGAGUUUGUGAGAGGAUAGUGGAAUUCCAGGUGUAGGAGUGAAAUCCGUAGAGAUCUGGAGGAACAUCAGUGGCGAAGGCGACUAUCUGGCACAAUACUGACGCUGAGGUGCGAAAGCGUGGGGAUCAAACAGGAUUAGAUACCCUGGUAGUCCACGCUGUAAACGAUGGAUACUAGGUGCUGGAGGCUUGACUUUCAGUGCCGUAGCUAACGCGUUAAGUAUCCCGCCU
rnacentral:rRNA from 1 species